rnacentral:rRNA from 1 species
UACAGAGGUCCCAAGCGUUGUUCGGAUUCAUUGGGCGUAAAGGGUUCGUAGGUGGCUUGCUAAGUCAGACGUGAAAUCCCUCGGCUCAACCGGGGAACUGCGUCUGAGACUGGCGAGCUUGAGUGCAGGAGAGGAACGCGGAAUUCCAGGUGUAGCGGUGAAAUGCGUAGAUAUCUGGAGGAACACCGGUGGCGAAGGCGGCGUUCUGGACUGCAACUGACACUGAGGAACGAAAGCCAGGGGAGCAAACGGG